GAUGAACGCUGGCGGCGUGCCUAAUACAUGCAAGUCGAGCGAACAGACGAGGAUCUUGCUCCUCUUACGUUAGCGGCGGACGGGUGAGUAACACGUGGAUAACCUACCUAUAAGACUGGGAUAACUUCGGGAAACCUGAUCUAAUACCGGAUAAUAUAUUGAACCGCAUGGUUCAAUAGUGAAAGACGGUUUUGCUGUCACUUAUAGAUGGAUCCGCGCCGCAUUAGCUAGUUGGUAAGGUAACGGCUUACCAAGGCAACGAUGCGUAGCCGACCUGAGAGGGUGAUCGGCCACACUGGAACUGAGACACGGUCCAGACUCCUACGGGAGGCAGCAGUAGGGAAUCUUCCGCAAUGGGCGAAAGCCUGACGGAGCAACGCCGCGUGAGUGAUGAAGGUCUUCGGAUCGUAAAACUCUGUUAUUAGGGAAGAACAAAUGUGUAAGUAAAUAUGCACGUCUUGACGGUACCUAAUCAGAAAGCAACGGCUAACUACGUG
rnacentral:rRNA from 1 species